rnacentral:rRNA from 1 species
GACGAACGCUGGCGGCGUGCUUAACACAUGCAAGUCGAACGAUGAUGCUGGAGCUUGCUCCAGUUGAUUAGUGGCGAACGGGUGAGUAACACGUGAGCAAUCUGCCCUUGACUCUGGGAUAACUGCGGGAAACUGUAGCUAAUACCGGAUACUUUCACCGGAAGGCAUCUUCUGGUGAUGAAAGAAUUUCGGUCAGGGAUGAGCUCGCGGCCUAUCAGCUUGUUGGUGAGGUAACGGCUCACCAAGGCGACGACGGGUAACUGGCCGGAGAGGUUGACCGGUCACACUGGGACUGCGACACGGCCCAGACUCCUAGGGGAGGCAGCAGUGGGGAAUAUUGCACAAUGGGCGCAAGCCUGAUGCAGCAACGCCGCGUGAGGGAUGAAGGCCUUCGGGUUGUAAACCUCUUUUAGCAGGGAAGAAGCGAAAGUGACGGUACCUGCAGAAAAAGCACCGGCUAACUACGUGCCAGCAGCCGCCGUAA